GGGGCGCCCGCGCGCGCGCGCGGGGCCAGGGCAGCGCGGUCCGGGCGCCGAGCAAGGAUGCGGAAAGGAUGUGGAAUUCCAUAAAAAUGGACAGUGAGCACCUGGCCAGAUUGGCCCUUUGACGCCGCCACCUCCGGUCUGCCCAUCGUUGUUUAUCUGAGGUUCUGCAUCAUCAAGAAGGAGACUGCAGGAGGAAGGCGAGCCAUACCUGGGAGCCCCUGAUGCUACCGAGUCUCAUCAGUGGAGCCGUGAACUUUCAUCACGUGGUAAAGAUGAUGUCUGUCAGAUUCCCCAGCUGCAGAGCCACGAUUUUCUUUUUGCAAUUAGUAACUUUAGGGUAGAGGGAUAUUUUGAGACAAUGCAAAGGUCCUGCUUCUUCUUAAACUUUUACCCACUAAUUUUAGCAUCGAUUGGUGUAUCUUGCCUCCAUGAUUUCUAUGGAAUUCUAAUGGAGAUUUUUUUUAUUUCCCCUCAUUCUUUUUUUCCAUGGGUUAAUUGGGUUUCUUUUGUAAGGAUACACUGUUCCUUUUCUCCCAUCUAUGUAUUUAUGACAUUAUUAACUUAUAUUUGUGCGAACUAAAAGACACUUAAUUCUUUGGGUUCUAAUCCAAUACUGUCAUUGUUCUGUUGCUCAAAUUGUUACCGUUUUGUUGUGUGUUUUUUUUAGGGCCUCACCUGCAGCAUAUGGAAAUUCCCAGGCUAGGGGUUGAAUCCGAGCUGUAGCUGCUGGCUUAAGGCACAGCCACAGCAACAUGGGAUCCGAGCUGCAUCUGUGACCUAUGCCACAACUUGUGGCAACACCAGAUCCUUAACCCAGUGAGUGAGGCCAGGGGUUGAACCGCAUCCUUGCAGACACCAUGUCAGGUUCUCAAGCUGCUGAGCCAUGAUGGGAACUCCCAAAUUGUUACAACUUUGGCCACUGGGAGCUCUGUCAGAUUGUUUCCUAUGCCUUUUCAAUAUUCCCCUACACUUCUGCCUUUUGCUUAUAUAAUUUAUUUAUAAUAGGACAUUUUAAAAUUUCAAUUAUCAACUGUUCUUUGCUAGUAUGUGGACAUACAGUGGACUUUUGUAUAUUUUAAAUGGGUUUCUUUUUUAUAUAAUGAUUUUUAUUUUUUUCUAUUAUAGUUGGUUUAUGGUGUUCUGUCAAUUUUCUACUAUACAGCAAGGUGACCCAGUCACACAUACAUGUAAACAUUCUUUUUCUCACAUGAUCCUGCUCCAUCACAAGUGACUAGAUAUAGUUCCCAGUGCUACACAGCAGCAUCUCAUUGCUUAUCCAUUCCAAAUGCAACAGUUUGCAUCUAUUAACCCCAGAUUCCUAGUCCAUCCCACUCUCUCCCCCUCCCCCUUGGCAACCACAAGUCUGUUCUCCAAAGUCCAUGAGUUUCUUUUCUGUGGAAAGGUUUAUUUGUGCCAUUUUUAGAUUCCAGAUAUAAGUGCUAUUAUAUGAUAUUAAAUGGGUUUCCUAUAAGCAACAUAUAAUUGAGCCUUGCCUUUUUUUUGGGGGGGGGGGGGGCACGCCUAUAGUAUUCAGAAGUUCUCAGGUCAGGGAUUGAACCUGCACCACAGCUCUCACGGCAACGCUGGAUCCUUAAGCCACUAGUGAGGCCCGGGGUCAACCCCGGGUCCGCAGGGAUAUUAGUCAUUACCAAUGAGCCACAACGGAAACUCCCUCUCCCUCUGUUUUAAAGAUGUGACCCACUGACUUCCUGCUCACAUGGUUUCGCAAAAGCUUAUACUCUCAUUUUCACAUGGUCCCUCCGUGGGUCUCGUUCUUCUCUGGCUGCAUUUAGGAUUUUCUCUUUAACUCUGGCUUCAUAAAAUUGAUCGUGAUAUA
rnacentral:lncRNA from 1 species